UACAGAGGGGGCAAGUGUUGUUCGGAAUUACUGGGCGUAAAGGGCGCGUAGGCGGCCUUCUAAGUCGAACGUGAAAUCCCCGGGCUCAACCCGGGAACUGCGUCCGAGACUGGAAGGCUUGAAUCCGGGAGAGGGAUGUGGAAUUCCAGGUGUAGCGGUGAAAUGCGUAGAUAUCUGGAGGAACAUCGGUGGCGAAGGCGGCAUCCUGGACCGGUAUUGACGCUGAGGCGCGAAAGCCAGGGGAGCAAACGGG
rnacentral:rRNA from 1 species